rnacentral:rRNA from 1 species
GACGGCCUUCGGGUUGUAAACCUCUUUCAGCACGGAAGAAGCGAAAGUGACGGUACGUGCAGAAGAAGCGCCGGCUAACUACGUGCCAGCAGCCGCGGUAAUACGUAGGGCGCAAGCGUUGUCCGGAAUUAUUGGGCGUAAAGAGCUCGUAGGCGGUUUGUCGCGUCUGCUGUGAAAGCCCGGGGCUUAACCCCGGGUGUGCAGUGGGUACGGGCAGACUUGAGUGCAGUAGGGGAGACUGGAAUUCCUGGUGUAGCGGUGAAAUGCGCAGAUAUCAGGAGGAACACCGAUGGCGAAGGCAGGUCUCUGGGCUGUUACUGACGCUGAGGAGCGAAAGCAUGGGGAGCGAACAGGAUUAGAUACCCUGGUAGUCCAUGCCGUAAACGUUGGGCACUAGGUGUGGGGAACAUUCCACGUUUUCCGCGCCGUAGCUAACGCAUUAAGUGCCCCGCCUGGGGAGUACGGCCGCAAGGCUAAAACUCAAAGGAAUUGACGGGGGCCCGCACAAGCGGCGGAGCAUGCGGAUUAAUUCGAUGCAACGCGAAGAACCUUACCAAGGCUUGACAUACACCGGACCGGGCCAGAGAUGGUCUUUCCCCCUUGUGGGGCU